UACGAAGGGGGCUAGCGUUGUUCGGAUUUACUGGGCGUAAAGGGCGCGUAGGCGGGCGACUAAGUCAGGGGUGAAAUCCCAAGGCUCAACCUUGGAACUGCCUUUGAUACUGGUUGUCUUGAGUUCGGGAGAGGUGAGUGGAACUGCGAGUGUAGAGGUGAAAUUCGUAGAUAUUCGCAAGAACACCAGUGGCGAAGGCGGCUCACUGGCCCAGUACUGACGCUGAGGUGCGAAAGCGUGGGGAGCAAACAGG
rnacentral:rRNA from 1 species